rnacentral:rRNA from 1 species
GCCAGACUCCUACGGGAGGCAGCAGUUAGGAAUAUUGGGCAAUGGAGGAAACUCUGACCCAGCAACGCCGCGUGAAGGAAGAAGGUUUUCGGAUUGUAAACUUCUGAUCUGUGGGACGAAGAAAGUGACGGUACCACAGGAGAAAGUCACGGCUAACUACGUGCCAGCAGCCGCGGUAAUACGUAGGUGGCAAGCGUUAUCCGGAAUGAUUGGGCGUAAAGGGUGCGCAGGCGGCGUGGCAAGUCUGAAGUGAAAGGUACGGGCUCAACCUGUACAGGCUUUGGAAACUGCCACGCUCGAGGACAGGAGAGGGCGGUGGAACUCCAUGUGUAGCGGUAAAAUGCGUAGAUAUAUGGAAGAACACCAGUGGCGAAGGCGGCCGCCUGGACUGUUACUGACGCUCAGGCACGAAAGCGUGGGGAGCAAAUAGGAUUAGAUACCCGCGUA